UAUAUAAAAGAGAGUUCUUUCACUCCUAAAGCCCUCCACGUCUGAUUCCAGGUCAGAAAUUCGUUGAUUCUGGUGCCGACACGUGUCCUUCAUUUAUUUCUGGUGUAAGUUGGUUUGGGCUUCGUCUGCAUUCAUAGUCCUUAUUUUACAAGCCCAUCUAUAGAGAGUGAGUCAAUAUAUUUGAAACGCGUCGUUUUUUUAAUUCUAUGGGUUAAACCCGUUUUUUCAUCUCCUUCUGAAAUUGCCGUCUUCUCCAAUCCCUAAUUUUGCAGCCGUCUAUGUGAGAAUGUAUCUGUAACGUUAAUCGUCAUUCAAACAUGUCAUAAAGAAUCUCCUUUUAACUCUCUGCUACCGUCUCUCCCACUAAGUUGAUUUUAAUUACUCUUUCCCACCACUACUUUGCAAAUACCUUAAUUCUCACAUCUAUAAAUAAGGGAUGAAGAACUCUCCCAAUCUCAUACUUUCACCGUAUUAUUUAUACUACCCCCUUCCCAAAAGAGCUUCCAAAGAUGGUAACCGCUCCAAUCCUGCUUUCCAUCUGAAGAGUGGCCGUGCUUCUAAGACGGGUUUGACGCGGCUUUAGGAGGCAGAACGUCAAGAAAUCUGGAGAACUCAUGGGGUUUGACCUGUUCUUGAUUAACGAAAAAUCGACACUGCUACAAGGUUCAGUUCCAUCUCUGUCGACUGUAAUAAUAUGUUUGUGAGGAUGCUUCCACCCGUGAUGAGGAAGAAAUAAAGAGAGAGAGCCUCUGUGGUGCCUCUAUUCUUUAGCAGAUCAUGACGUCGUUCCCUGUUUCGAUCUUGGUUCUACUAGCUUAUGAAAAAGAAAAAUCGGGAACCGGGAUUCUUAGAUAUGAGUUGAGUCUAUGUUUAAGAAGAUAAUCGAUCUGGGGAAGCUCCGGUUAGUUUCAAUCCUUACGGCGGGAAUAUGGAGAGAUUAUAAAGUCGCAACACUGUUCCCGUACCGAGAUAAGCUUUUCAAGAUUUAAUACACUAUAAUAUUAGAAAUAAUUGUCAGCUGCAAAGAUAGAGAAGUGUUUUUAGAAAUAGAUUAAAGUGCUUCACAGUUUCAUGACCUGGUUUUGUAAGUAAGAAGCCUUUAAAUAUGUAUUUGAUCACGAGCGAGUAAUAACAAAGAAGAAAAAGUGUAUUGGAGAAAGUAUUUUAGAAAGAGCUUCAAUCGAUUAGUAAAUCAAAACUUUCGUUGAUCUUAGGAACUUAUUCACAAAUGAACAGAGUAUCCUACCUGCCAAGUACGACAUAUGAGAUAUUGUUUUAUCAUUUGAUAUAAAGAUUGGUGUUAGUUAAAUAUUUUAUUGCUUUGGUGAAGCAAUAUAGAAUGUAUUAGUUAUGGAUAUCAUAUAUUGUAUGUUUUCUCUGUUUUACAUCACAAUACUCUACAAUUUUAAAUUGUUUCGAAAAGUAUUUAUAAAGAGGUUGAUUAAGAUUAUAGUGGGAUUCUGGAAAAUGCAAACGUUAAAACACCACUAGCUAUGUUUCUAAUAUAUUAAUCCAAUCAACAUUAAUCAUUAUCAUAUUCCGUCAGGGUAUAAUAUCGAGAAAAUUUUGACUUUUAUAAAUGCAUUCAUUAUUUGUUUCUAAUAUGUUUUGUUUCACCACUAUUACGUUACUCAAAACAAUGAAUUCAACAUCAACAAAACUGUCACAGCAUGGGAAGAAAUGUUUAAAUGGAAGAAUGAAUUUAGAACAGAUCGCAUUAUAAAGGUAUGUAGAUUUCAGGUUCAAAGAGUUGGUCAACAUCAAAAUGCACUACCAUCAAGGGAAUCAUGGAAUUUAUGAAGAUGGAAGGCCUAACUAUAUC